GAUCAAACAGCAAUCCAGCCCCUUGUCAGUGCAAAUGAAUAUCAGUGUCACAUACUACCCUGCAGUUCCAUUAUAGGAGCCUAGAGGGCGCUUGGCAUCCUUUCUCUCUCCCCCCUCCCCUCUCUGUUUUCAGCACCUGUCUCCAAUCAGCCUCAUCCAUCACCACCGGUAUAUAAGCCUGCCCGUUCCAGGAAAUUCUCGCCAAAGUUCCAGCGGUACCACGGCCCAUUUACCUCCAAGUAAGCCACACUAUUCCUCGGUCCUUUUUUUGACUCCUGUGUUUCCUUGUUCUCAGUGUUCCUGCUCCACGUCACUCCUGCCGCCAAGCCAGCCGCUUGUCCACGCUCCCCCCUGCCAAUGCACCCAGGACCACCUCCAUAACCUUUCCUCAAUAAGCUGUUCAUCAUUUUACAUCUGCCUCCGCCUGCUCUUGGGUCCAGCUACUCCCCAUACGUGACAGAAUACUUUGGCCAUUAUGGACCCAGCAACUACUGAGGCACUCACUCUCCAAGGAGCCCACAUAUGAAGACAAGAAAAUACUCUCCAAGAACUCAUGGACUCUCUACACUCCCUCACACAACAAGUAUCCCUCCUUUCCUCGACGGUGCUAUCCAAACUUCCAGCUGCAGGCAGUGGCAGUCCCCGCCGUCAAGGAUCAUCUCCGGAGAAUCCAGGCAGUUUGGAAAGAUGUCCGAGCGGCGUUGACCCGGUCCGUCGCAUGCAAUAAACAGCUCGCGGACCGUCAUCGUUCCCUGACGCCCGAAUACAAGUUGCGGGGAGCUGGAGCCUAUCCUAGCUGACUUCGAGGAAGGGUGGACUUCACCCUGGACUGGUCGCCAGUCAAUCAAGGCAGAGACAGACAUCCAUUGACGCUCACCUUCACAGUGUCACUGAAUGAGAACUUAACCCACGGUGCUUGCUCAGAAGUCAGAAAACGGCAGUAAAUACUAAUGUAUAAUAUAUAUAAUAUCAUAUAAAAACUGUAUUUUGGAAGUAACUUGCCCCAAACUGAUUUGAAUGACAACUAUGUGCUUUCCAAUAUCGAGACCAGUCAAUGCUCCAAUAGUAUGAUGGCAAUGUGUAUCUGAAACACAACUGCUGUUUCUCAACUUGAAUGCUUAUUCAUUAUUCAUUCCUUCAGAUCACUUACAUAUUCCCAUUCUCCUCUUAUUUGAAUGUUGUUUUUAAUCCAGUUUAUUAAAUGAGAAU